rnacentral:rRNA from 1 species
AUUGAACGCUGGCGGCAUGCCUUACACAUGCAAGUCGAACGGCAGCACGGGUGCUUGCACCUGGUGGCGAGUGGCGAACGGGUGAGUAAUACAUCGGAACAUGUCCUGUAGUGGGGGAUAGCCCGGCGAAAGCCGGAUUAAUACCGCAUACGAUCUACGGAUGAAAGCGGGGGCCCUUCGGGCCUCGCGCUAUAGGGUUGGCCGAUGGCUGAUUAGCUAGUUGGUGGGGUAAAGGCCUACCAAGGCGACGAUCAGUAGCUGGUCUGAGAGGACGACCAGCCACACUGGAACUGAGACACGGCCCAGACUCCUACGAGAGGCAGCAGUGGGGAAUUUUGGACAAUGGGCGAAAGCCUGAUCCAGCAAUGCCGCGUGUGUGAAGAAGGCCUUCGGGUUGUAAAGCACUUUUGUCCGGAAAGAAAUCCUUGGCCCUAAUACGGUCGGGGGAUGACGGUACCGGAAGAAUAAGCACCGGCUAACUACGUG